UUAGGUUCCCAGUCAGGAGUGGGAACUUCUACAAAGCACAAAGGUUUCUAGGGCAAGAAGCCACCCAACAGUUGAACCAAAUCAGCCCCUGGCUGACACAGCACUCCACCAGGAGGCGGUCCCGACCCAGGCUGAGUUCCAACACUUUCCCCUUGUGAGGGCCAGAAGGACCUUCCUGCUUUCCUCCCUAACCUGCAGGAGACUUGUAAGGCGUCCCCAUUCACAGCUUCUGUUGGAAUCUGCAGGCCUGCAACUUCCAUUACAGACUCCGGGACCCCGCCAACACGCAUAUUGACCCAAGGAAUCUUCGGGAUGGACUCUGCUUCUGAUCACAUCUUCACCUGCUCGAGGAUCACCUGUGGCACGUCGGGCUCUGAAUGCAAGCCCCAGGACACCCCAUUUCAUGCGUCUGCAUUCUUAACCUCACUGCGCAUUAACAUGCAUCUCAAUGCAUCCAAAAUACCGCACCCCCAUCACAUCAGAGAGCAUUAAAAAUAAGCCAGCUCAAUGCACAAAAAUGAGGGCGACAAUCGGAAACACAAUGAUGUUUCUAAAGAAUGUCCAACCUUAACUGCAGCUUUUCAGUUUCCAAAUUCUCUCUUCUUUAUCUCGUCAUUUCCCUGAAUCACUGGGGCCCAACAACACCAUUCUCAGUCAGAUGUCUGCCUGAGACACAUCAUUUCAAAUUCACCGGUAAAAUGUUUGCAGUUACCAGAAGUGACCUUGUUUUACACACCAACGUGAUGAAUUUAUGUGGGUGGCUUAGUGGAGCUGUUCAUUUCCAGCUUGGUAAUAUUUUAAUUAAUUAAAAGGGAAAAAUCAAUGAACAAAGAUUCUGUUUCCUAUGAUAUUUUAUAUUUUCUACUUUUAUUCAAAAUUAAGGGUUUUAACAUUUUUUUCGGUUAGUCACAAUUUUUGUCUCCCUCCCUCUCCCUGGUUCUCUCUCUUUCUCUCUAUUCCCCCACCCUGCCCCACCUCUGAUUCUCUCUCUCCAUCUUAAAAUGUAUAUCUCCAGGGGCAUUUAGGGUGCAAAAGGUUGCCAAUUGUUCUUAGUGCAGAGAGCAUCUGAAUCCUGUAGUGUGUUGAUUUGAAUAAAGCAAGGAACGCUCUUCCUACCGUGAUGGCCUCUUGCAGGGCUGAACGGGAAAGGGACGCGGCACAGUCUGGCAGUGCGUGGGAGCAAACGAAACCUGCACAAAGGGAGGCGGAAGAAAACAGGGAGGGAUCUGAACACACACUCAAUAGGGAUCCAUUGUGGAGGAAGCCAAGCUAAGGGAGAGGUGCUGCGAUGCUCUCAGGCGUGUGCACAUUUGCAUACGGGCUCGCAGACCCUGACGCGGCGUCGGGCUUGUCACUUUUAAGCACCCAAUUAAUUGACUUGACGGUGCGGUGAGCUUCCUCCUUUCAGAGAGAUACUACUGCGGACUGCGGUUUUAAUUAUAUGAAAUAUUAACCGCGGAUUGAAAUUGGAAACC
rnacentral:lncRNA from 1 species